rnacentral:piRNA from 2 species
UCUCUUAACUUUGGGAUAGCCUGAGACAC